UACGAAGGGGGCUAGCGUUGUUCGGAAUUACUGGGCGUAAAGCGCGCGCAGGCGGUCUUCCAAGUCAGUGGUGAAAGCCCGGAGCUCAACUCCGGAAUUGCCAUUGAAACUGUGAGACUGGAGUACGAGAGAGGUGAGUGGAAUUCCCAGUGUAGAGGUGAAAUUCGUAGAUAUUGGGAAGAACACCGGUGGCGAAGGCGGCUCACUGGCUCGUAACUGACGCUCAGGCGCGACAGCGUGGAGAUCAAACAGG
rnacentral:rRNA from 1 species